rnacentral:rRNA from 1 species
AUUGAACGCUGGCGGAAUGCUUUACACAUGCAAGUCGAACGAUGAACCUUAGCUUGCUAAGGGGAUUAGUGGCGAACGGGUGAGUAAUAUAUCGGAACGUGCCUUGUAAUGGGGGAUAACUAGUCGAAAGAUUAGCUAAUACCGCAUACGCCCUGAGGGGGAAAGGAGGGGAUCUUCGGACCUUACGUUAUAAGAGCGGCCGAUAUCUGAUUAGCUAGUUGGUGGGGUAAUGGCCUACCAAGGCGACGAUCAGUAGCUGGUCUGAGAGGACGACCAGCCACACUGGAACUGAGACACGGUCCAGACUCCUACGGGAGGCAGCAGUGGGGAAUUUUGGACAAUGGGCGCAAGCCUGAUCCAGCCAUUCCGCGUGAGUGAAGAAGGCCUUCGGGUUGUAAAGCUCUUUCGCAAGGGAAGAAAACUUACCAUCGAAUAAAUGGUGAGGCUGACGGUACCUUGAUAAGAAGCACCGGCUAACUACGUG